GGGAGGUUGGCGGCGGACGUGCUGCUCGCCAAUCGGGUCAGGUCCGGAAGGAAGCAGCCCUAACGAGAUCCGCAUGGGUUGCUCGUCCAGCCUCCCGCU
rnacentral:SRP_RNA from 1 species